CGCAGCCGCGGUAAUUCCAGCUCCAAUAGCGUAUAUUAAAGUUGUUGCAGUUAAAAAGCUCGUAGUUGAAUUUCGGGAUCAAUUAAUUGGUCGUGCCUCUGGUACGUACUGAUUUUAUUGGUUUCUCCCUUCUGACGAACCAUGAUGUCAUUAAUUUGAUGUCGUGGAGAAUCAGGACUGUUACUUUGAAAAAAUUAGAGUGUUUAAAGCAAGCUAACGCUUGAAUACAUUAGCAUGGAAUAAUGAAAUAGGACGUUUGAUCCUAUUUUGUUUGGUCUCUAGGAUCGACGUAAUGAUUAAUAGGGAUAGUUGGGGGCAUUAGUAUUCAAUUGUCAGAGGUGAAAUUCUUGGAUUUAUUGAAGACUAACUACUGCGAAAGCAUUUGCCAAGGAUGUUUUCAUUAAU
rnacentral:rRNA from 1 species